UUUCCAUUCCACUCAACAAAAAGUACUCCGUGAGAGAUCAGUGAGAGAGCGAGCUGUCAAAUAAAUAGAGAAAAAAUUUAAAAAAUUCAAUUUUGUCUCUCACACGGAGUACUUUUUUAGUAAGAAGAAACUAAGCAUUAUUUACCGUUAAAUAGAAAUCUUGAAU